AUUGAACGCUGGCGGCAGGCUUAACACAUGCAAGUCGAGCGAGCGGCGGACGGGUGAGUAAUGUCUGGGAAACUGCCUGAUGGAGGGGGAUAACUACUGGAAACGGUAGCUAAUACCGCAUACUAUCGGAUGAACCCAUAUGGGAUUAGCUAGUAGGUGGGGUAAAGGCUCACCUAGGCGACGAUCCCUAGCUGGUCUGAGAGGAGGAUCAGCCACACUGGGACUGAGACACGGCCCAGACUCCUACGGGAGGCAGCAGUGGGGAAUAUUGCACAAUGGGCGCAAGCCUGAUGCAGCCAUGCCGCGUGUAGGAUGAAGGCCUUAGGGUUGUAAAGUACUUUCAGCGGGGAAGCGGUACCCGCAGAAGAAGCACCGGCUAACUCCGUGCCAACAGCCGCGGUAAUAC
rnacentral:rRNA from 1 species